rnacentral:rRNA from 1 species
CCUACGGGGGACAGCAGUGAGGAAUAUUGGUCAAUGGGCGCGAGCCUGAACCAGCCAAGUAGCGUGAAGGAUGAAGGUUCUAUGGAUCGUAAACCUCUUUUAUAAGGGAAUAAAGUGUGGGACGUGUCCUGUUUUGUAUGUACCUUAUGAAUAAGGAUCGGCUAACUCCGUGCCAGCAGCCGCGGUAAUACGGAGGAUCCGAGCGUUAUCCGGAUUUAUUGGGUUUAAAGGGUGCGUAGGCGGCCUUUUAAGUCAGCGGUGAAAGUCUGUGGCUCAACCAUAGAAUUGCCGUUGAAACUGGGAGGCUUGAGUAUGUUUGAGGCAGGCGGAAUGCGUGGUGUAGCGGUGAAAUGCUUAGAUAUCACGCAGAACCCCGAUUGCGAAGGCAGCCUGCCAAGCCAUGACUGACGCUGAUGCACGAAAGCGUGGGGAUCAAACAGGAUUAGAUACCCGUGUAGUC